rnacentral:rRNA from 1 species
AUUGAACGCUGGCGGCAGGCCUACCACAUGCAAGUCGAACGAGUGGCGGACGGGUGAGUAAUGUCUGGGCAACUGCCUGAUGGAGGGGGCUAACUACUGGAAACGGUAGCUAAUACCGCAUACCAUCAGAUGUGCCCAGAUGGGAUUAGCUAGUUGGUGGGGUAACGGCUCCCCAAGGCGACGAUCCCUAGAUGGUCUGAGAGGAUUACCUGCCACCCUGGAACUGAGACACGGUCCAGAGCCCUACGGGAGGCAGCAGGUGGGAAUAUUGCACAAUGGGCGCAAGCCUGAUGCAGCCAUGCCGCGUGUAUGAAGAAGGCGUUCGGGUUGUAAAGUACUUUCAGCUGGGAGGCGUUACCCGCAGAAGAAGCACCGGCUAACUGCGUGCCAGCAGCCGCGGUAAUAC